rnacentral:rRNA from 1 species
AGAAUUGAUCUGGUUCAGGAUGAACGCUAGCUACAGGCUUAACACAUGCAAGUCGAGGGCAGCAUGUGGUUGCUGCAACCAAUGAUGGCGACCGGCGCACGGGUGAGUAACGCGUAUCCAACCUUCCCUAUAGUAGAGGAUAGCCCGGCGAAAGUCGGAUUAAUACUCUAUGUUUUCCAAUGCAGACAUCUAAGUUGGAACAAAGGUUCACCGCUAUAGGAUGGGGAUGCGUCUGAUUAGAUAGUCGGCGGGGUAACGGCCCACCGAGUCGACGAUCAGUAGGGGUUCUGAGAGGAAGGUCCCCCACAUUGGAACUGAGACACGGUCCAAACUCCUACGGGAGGCAGCAGUGAGGAAUAUUGGUCAAUGGGCGAGAGCCUGAACCAGCCAAGUAGCGUGCAGGAUGACGGCCCUAUGGGUUGUAAACUGCUUUUAUACAGGGAUAAAGUGACGUACGUGUACGUUUUUGUAGGUACUGUAUGAAUAAGGACCGGCUAAUUCCGUGCCAGCAGCGGC